UUUGUCUUUAUGUAAGAUAUUUGUCUUUAUGUAAUAUAUAGUAGAAGAGUAUUUGUCUUAAUAAUAAUGUUUUAAAGUAAGACGUCGUUGUACCUUACACAGGGAAAGAACGGGACACAGGAUCUCCCGCCAGAUGAAGGGAAAGGAUGAACACAAGAGUACUGACAACAAAGAAGACUGGAGGUGACUUUUGUGAGAACACCCGUAACAGUGAGAGCAUCCCUCCGUAUGAACUGGGAAAAGGAAGAGGUGCAGGGGGCGUGGGAGUGCAGGGCAGCGCCCCCUGAGAAGAGGAACGGGCCUUACUCGCAUCUGCUGGUUAGCUCGGAGCCCCCUGCGGCGGAGGCCAAGGGGCCUGUGAAAAAACCAGCUGUCCCACGGCCACAUUCGAUGAUAUGUGGAAGGGAGGAGGUGGAGCAUUACCCUCUAACGUGA
rnacentral:lncRNA from 1 species